CAGGUGGUUUAACUCCGAGCCUUCAUACCUAAAUCAGAAGACAAGGUAUGUUGGCCGCGAAGUGCGUUCGCAAGAAUGUGUCAUUCGCCAGGGUUGUGAGAGAAAUCAAACAGCCUCCCCGUAAGUGCCAAGGCGAUAAGGCCCGGCAACU
rnacentral:ncRNA from 17 species